AAUGUGCCCGAUCUCGUCUGAUCUCGGAAGCCAAG
rnacentral:rRNA from 14 species